rnacentral:lncRNA from 1 species
GAUGAAGCGCUUCUGGUUAAAAUGAUUCAGCAAGAAACCACGCCCCAUCAAAGCUAUCCCACCCUGCCCUGGUCCUGGAGCUUUGCUUGACAAGCACCUCUGCUCAGCCUCGCCCCACUACAUGCUACCCUCAUGCACACAGCCAUGUGGCUGGCCAUGCUGCUUGCCCUCUGCUGCCUAACAUCUGACGCCCAUGGGGCAUACACCUCAGCAGGCUGGGUCUGGUCACUGGGCGGCAGUGGAAAGGAAUACCGAAGAGACGCCAAGGACAUGGAAUCCCGCUUCACGGCAAGUCAGGUGCCAAGAAAUUUUUGUUCCAAAGAUUUGAACUCCGGUGUGGAGCCGGGAUUCCCCAAAACAAUAAAGACCAAUAACCCAGGAGUGCUUAAG